AUCAGUACAGGAUAAGUAAUGUAUGUACACAGUGACUCCACCAGCAGAAUAGUGAGUGCAGCUCUGGACCAGCUGGUCCUGAGCUGCAAUUACCUGUGGGUGCGGUCGCCUGUGGCUGUGUGUAGCUGUUGCUGCAGCUGCUAGCUCCUG